CUACGGGACGCUGCAGUGAGGAAUAUUGCACAAUGGGGGGAACCCUGAUGCAGCAACGCCGCGUGGAGGAUGACGCAUUUCGGUGUGUAAACUCCUUUUAUAUGUCAAGAAAAUGACGGUAGCAUAUGAAUAAGCACCGGCUAACUCCGUGCCAGCAGCCGCGGUAAUACGGAGGGUGCAAGCGUUACUCGGAAUCACUGGGCGUAAAGGACGCGUAGGCGGGUUGGAAAGUCAGGUGUGAAAUCCUACAGCUUAACUGGCGAACUGCACUUGAAACUUCUAAUCUAGAGUAUGGGAGGGGGAGAUGGAAUUAGUGGUGUAGGGGUAAAAUCCGUAGAUAUCACUAGGAAUACCUAAAGCGAAGGCGAUCUCCUGGAACAUUACUGACGCUAAGGCGUGAAAGCGUGGGGAGCAAACAGGAUUAGAUACCCGAGUAGUC
rnacentral:rRNA from 1 species